GACGAACGCUGGCGGCGUGCCUAAUACAUGCCAGUAGAACGCUGAAGAGAGGAGCUUGCUCUUCUUGGAUGAGUUGCGAACGGGUGAGUAACGCGUAGGUAACCUGCCUUGUAGCGGGGGAUAACUAUUGGAAACGAUAGCUAAUACCGCAUAACAAUGGAUGACACAUGUCAUUUAUUUGAAAGGGGCAAUUGCUCCACUACAAGAUGGACCUGCGUUGUAUUAGCUAGUAGGUGAGGUAACGGCUCACCUAGGCGACGAUACAUAGCCGACCUGAGAGGGUGAUCGGCCACACUGGGACUGAGACACGGCCCAGACUCCUACGGGAGGCAGCAGUAGGGAAUCUUCGGCAAUGGGGGCAACCCUGACCGAGCAACGCCGCGUGAGGGAAGAAGGUUUUCGGAUCGUAAAGCUCUGUUGUAAGUCAAGAACGAGUGUGAGAGUGGAAAGUUCACACUGUGACGGUAGCUUACCAGAAAGGGACGGCUAACUACGUG
rnacentral:rRNA from 1 species